GAGGGGAAAACAAAUUAAAAGUGGAGUCGACUCAACUUCUCUCUGUCUCGCACUGCAGAGCCUCCACCGCAUUGCUACUGAGUUCCCGCUCCAGCCGGCGGCUGACAUUUUCAUUGCAUUUCCUACUUUUUCAAUCAAAUUACUUGAAACGGCUGAAUCGAGAUCCGCCAUGGAGUUCCGACAAUGAAGAAAUUCGUGAGCUUGAAGAAGGGGGAGACAAAUUGAGAGCCACGUUAAGGAUGCCUCGAGGAUUCUCUUUGUUGUAUCAACCACGAUGCCUCCUCCUCUUGAUUGUCUUUCUCGUUUUCCUCGUUUUCGCGCUGUUUACUCACAAUCAAAGGGAGGAGAAACUAGAAGAAGAGCCUGAAAUUACCCACAGGGUUUACUUGGAUGUUGAUAUUGAGGAACAGAGAUUAGGUAGAAUCGUGAUUGGAUUAUAUGGCCAGGUUGUACCCAAAACUGUAGAAAAUUUUAGGGCUCUAUGCACAGGGGAGAAAGGUAAAACUACAAGCGGAAAAGCACUCCAUUAUAAAGGAACACCGUUCCAUCGUAUUGUAUCUGGUUUCGUGAUUCAAGGUGGUGAUAUUUUAUACGGUGACGGAAAAGGAUAUGAAUCAAUCUAUGGUGGUACAUUUGCUGAUGAGAACUUCAAAAUAAAACAUUCACAUGCAGGCGUUGUCUCCAUGGUAAACCCAGGACCUGAUUCAAAUGGCUCACAAUUUUUCAUUACCACCAUUAAGUCCAGCUGGUUAGAUGGAGAGCAUGUUGUCUUUGGCAAGGUUAUCCAAGGAAUGGACUAUGUAUAUGCAAUUGAAGGCGGAGCAGGAACCUAUAGCGGGAAACCUAGAAAGAAGGUUACCAUUGCUGACAGUGGGGAGAUACCCAAGAGCAAGUGGGAUGAGGAAACAUGAAGGAUGACGAAAAUGAAGAUGAGUUGGGUAGUCUAUUCCCAAGACUCUCAACCUCGGAACUUGCAAGCUGUUUUGAGUUCUUCAGGUGGUUUAUCACCAGCAAAUCCACUGUCAACCCAAGCAGAGUCUAGUUAACCUUGCAAAUUAGUUCUAUGGAUCUCAAAUCUUACCACAUUAAGAAGAUCGACGCAAGCGCGAAGUCCUCUACCACCACUGUUGCAAGCCUGCACAGAUAGCCUCCAUCUUUGAAAGAGCAAAGAGAUUCUUUGUUUCAGCUUUGCCAAAAAGCUCGCCCUUGUAAGGUUUGAUCCAUUCCUUACGAACCAAAAUAUUUUAUAGAUGAUCAAGCUUGCAUUUUGCAAGCUUUUUGUUGACUUUGAUCAUUUCAAGUUAUGCUGAAUUCAUAAUUAUUGAUUAGAAUUCUUGAAUAUUUAAUUAACAAAUAGCCUUGUUCUUGUAGGCCUGGUGUACGCAAUAGAUUUUUUUUUUUUCCUCAACGGUCGGCUCUAAAUCACUUACAUGAUUGGACUUUGCGUAUUUGACUUUUUUUCUCUUUUUUUUUUUUUAAAGAAAAAAGAAGAAGAAACAUAAGGUUUUUAUUUAUUUAGUUUGUUGGUCAACAAUUCAUUUUCGUUGAAGUCAAAUUGUUGGGGAAAAAAGCCAAAUUUGAUCCUAAAAAUUUUAGAUGGUACAAAUUUGGAUCAUAAACUUUCUAUUUUAUCAAAUUCGACUCUAAACUUAAAUAAAUGUUUCAAUUUUUA